rnacentral:tRNA from 3 species
UGCCGAGUAGUUCAAUGGUAGAACGCUACGCUGUUAACGUAGAUGUUGGUGGUUCGAAUCCACCCUCGGCAGCCA